AUAAAGACUUCGAUAACUAGAGGAUUUUUUUUAAAAUAGGUUUAAUCUUUUUAAUAGAUUAUACAAAAUUCAGCAGCAUACAAAAUGCAAUCAAAGGCAUUUUGCCCGUUUUCAAUAGUUAUAGCUCUAAAUUCAUGCAUCGCAUCAUGUCCAUCUAAUUACAAUCCGGCACGGUUAAAAAUUUGAACUUCAAAUCCAACAAAAAAAGAGAAGAGAACUGUGACGAUGAGGACGGAGAUCACUUCAAAGAAGGAAACAGUUUAUAUCGGUAUCUUACUCGUAUUAAAAUCAACGCCGUAUUCGAAUAUCUAAAAAGCAAAGCUAUUUUACAGACUGGAUGGUAAAAAAAGUCACGAAAAAACAUGGACAUUUUAAUGAAAAUGGUCAAAGGUCCAAGUCUCGAGUUUAGUGGUCAAUCACACCGACAUUCUUCAAGUGAAAGCAGAAGAUUUUUUAUCAUUACAAUUCGAACUAAUCAUAGAAAAUUAUGAAACCGAAUCACGUAAACACGACAACUUCAAGAUGUCUAUAUAGAUGCAUUUUGGUUGAUCUGAAUAUGGUGUAAUAAGUAGAAGAUAUAGACUAGAUUAUCAAAAUUAAUAAAAUAAUUAUGAAUCGUGAAAAUUAAA